rnacentral:lncRNA from 1 species
GGGGCAGAGAUUGGAGUUACGCUGCCAUAAACCAGGCAUUACUUGGAACCAUUACUUGGAAGCUAGAAGAGUCAAAGAACCUUUGGAGAGAGCAUGGCCUUGCCAAUGUCUCGAUUUCAGCCGUCUCUAGAAAAUGUCUCCAUAGUCUCUGGAACUGUGGGAGAAUUUCUGUUUUGAGCCACCAAGUUUGUUAUAGCGGCCCUAGAAACUUGAUAAACUCAUGAAAACAACCACUACUCUGGAGACUCCAAUUACAACUUCACACCAUUGGGUGAAAAGGCCAAAGAGGGGGCUAUGGUGUUACUGGUUUGACUGAUCCUGACACUGAAAGAGAAGUGGAAUCACUGGGAGGGAGGGAGAGAGGGGAGGGUGGACACCCAGGGGCAAUGUUAAGGGAAGACUCAGUCAUUCUGUACAAAUAGGGCCACCAAUGGUUCAGAUCCCUUAGGAUUAAAACUCUUUCUAAUUGAGGUACUGGCUGAAGGCAGAGGGACCUUAGAAUGGGUAGGGAAUCCAUGAAUACCACCUAUUGAUUCAUGACCAGCUAGAGUCUUUUCCAUUGGGUUAAACCUGUAUUUUCAUACUUUAAUUUCCUUCCUCCCUCUCUCUUCCUUCUUUUGUUUCCUUCAUUAUGUUUUGUUCCCUUCAUUAUGUUUAUAGGGUGAAUUCAUAGGAGUCAGCUUAACACUUUGGUUUAGAGGGUACAGACUAAAGUGGGAGAAGAUCCUGAUGGAACUAGUGUAAGAAAGGACACUCAGAGAUCUUGCACCUGGACCUGAUGAGACCUUAGGUCUUUGGGUGCUCUCUACACUUUGGGUAUAAGAUAAUACUUCAUUGAUUAUAUGAAAGAUAGAUACAUUGUGUUAAACAGCACUAUUUUAAAAGCAGAUGCAUGAGAAGAAGGAUGUAUUUUGAUAUCGAAAAGCUAAAAGUGGACAUUUGUCAACUACUUUUGACACUCUGAAGUCACUAUCUCUGUAUGGGAGACUCACUACCUUAGGAGUCUUGUGGGAGGCUGAGCCUGCUUCCUACAGUAAAAACCAAGCACUUUCCCAGCCUCCCUUGCAAGUAGGGUACAGGGACAUGACCUGGGCUCCACCAAUCAGACUUAUCCACCCAGAGUUGGAAACUUGAGCCUGAAGGUGAGAUGAAGCAGAGUCACAGGGCACCUGGUGGCAGCACCUGAACCCCAUCCAGUUUUGAGAGGCAGUGUGGUAAGGUUCUAGUGCUCUUAUCAGUGUCCUGCGUUGAUGGCUUGGAGAUGUAAGCUGUAGUGUCUGUGUCUUCCCAAAGCUAGUUCUGCUGCCUGAGUUCCUGGUUGAUAUGCAGCCUGGCCUUCUUGUCCCUCUGGUUUAUUCCAUGAACUGGGUAUUGUAUCUCAAUAAGUUCUUUUUUUGUUUAAAUAACUCAAGGUUGGUUUCCUUGCCUGGAAGAAUCUGACCGAUACAGUACACCAUUAGAGUCCUAAUUAUCUUUUAAAAAUACAUCUUUUUUACACAUCAAAGUAGUAUAUAUAUUUUUACAUACCAAAGUAAGUAUAUAUAUGUAAGUUAUACAUAUAUAUGCUUGAAUAUAUAUAAAAUCUAUAGACAUAUGUAUAUACUUAUGUAUGUUUUAUGAUAUAUAAAACAUAAUAUCUAUCAAGACUUAAACAUUACCCUAUUUCAAAGGAGAUAACCACUCUCCUGAAGUUUGUAUUUGUUCCUCCUUUGCUUCUUAAAAAUUUUUAUUGUCUAAACUAUAUAAUCUUUAGCUUUGCUUAUUUUAUUUUAUUUUAUUUUAUUUUUUGUCUUUUAGGGCUGCACCUGUGGCAUACGGAGGUUCCCAAGCUAGGGGUCCAACUGGAACUGUAGCCGCUGGCCUACGCCAGAGCCACAGCAACACGGGAUCUGAGCCGCAUCUGCAAACUACACCAUAGCUCAUGGCAAUGCUGGAUCCUUAACCCACUGAGCGAGGCCAGGUAUGGAACCCGCAGCCUCAUGAAUGCUAGUCACGUUCGCUAACUGCUGAGCCACGAUGGGAACUCUAAGCUUUGCUUAUUUUUGAGCUUGAUUAAAUAUUCAUGUAUCUAGGUAGUAAGAGAAUGAAAUUAGUGAUAUGUAAAUUUUUUGAAAUAUAUAUUUCAUUGUAUCAUAUCCAUGGCACAUACUAUCAACAUAUUGUCUCUUUCAGUCUUUUUGUUUCUUGGACUUUUUAAAAAAAAUGCAGCUUCAUGUAAUAGAUGGAACUGAAGGUCCACAGGAUUUAUUCUGGUUGCAGCUGAAUGUAGAAGAAACACCUGUUUAUUGAAAAAUAAUAGCAUGAGGAUAUUGUAGAUGGCUCCAAUGAAGACUGUCACAGCCUCUGCAUUCCUGUGGCAAGAAGGGAUCUUGUGCAUCUGGUGUAGGCUGGUCUGGAGGCUAAAUGUCCAAGAUCAAGAUGUCGGCAAGACUGUAUUCCUUCUGAAGGAACCAAGGAAGUAUCUGUCCCGGGCCUUUCUCACAGCUUCUGGUAGUUCCUUAGCUUGCAGCAUAUCUCCAAUCUGUACAUGGCGUUCUCCUUGUGUGUGCAUCUGUCUCUUGCAUUCCUCCUAUAGCUGUUAGGCCACACUGCCUCUCUCGUUGUGCCUCAUUUCUUUUAUCCACACCUGUUUGGUUUCUAUCAGAGGUCCAGCAAAGAGUUUGGGAGCAUCUCUGAUUUCAGGAUCUCAAGACCGUCCCUCCUGUGAGUAGGGAGAGGUUCUUCUCUGCAUCCAGGGUCCCUACAAAAGGUGCAAGCCUUCUGAACAGCCCUGCUGACUGACUUCCUUUUAAAAUGCCAGAACCAUUAAGUACAGUAAAUUUGUUCUCCUAGAGAGGGUGGGUUGCAGUCAGCAGGAGUAAAAGCCAUGCCACUUAUUGGUCUAAAAAGGUAUUUAGCAGCUACAAAUAACCUCCUGGAUUAAUGGAAUCAACAGUCUUUAGGUCUCUAGAUGUAAAGGGCCCAUUUAUUCGACAUCCAUUCAUUUAUUCAACAAGCCGUGGUGCCGGUUUGGGUCGAGCUAAUUCUGAAUUGAGACUGCUGUCCUUCCUCUUAAGGCUUUCUUCAAUAAUUAUUCUGUUAUUGACACAUCAGUGACCCCACCAUGACUAAUGGGUUAGUAUUACUGAGAGAUGCAGCUAAAGGUCACCUCGGAGUGGGGGGCUGUGGGGGGGAGGCGAGCUGACAUUUCCAUGGUGCACUGUGGAGCAAAUGGAGAUUUUAAGGGGGCAGAGCCCACUCCGUCUUUACAGGAGACUAGAGUGCCAUUACAAUGCUGCGUAAUCAAAUUUCUUCCUUUUCUGCAAUCUUUGUUCCAUUUAUUAAUUAAGUGAAAUGACACAAGAGGGUGAGCGCCGGCGGUCUGUGGCACACUUGGGUGUAUUGUUAGGACAGCAGCACCGGCUUGAUUACAGUCAGUGUGAACAGUAGCAGGUUACUUAUUGGGUAAUAAGACUGACCCAGGAGUGUCUUUAUAAGAGUUGAAAGAGGAAUUUUCAGAUAAAAGAGAAAAAAAAAUGUUUUUAAUGAAAUUUAGAAAAUGGGGUCAGAGUACAAUUUAUGGACCAAAUCUUGCCCUCUGGCAUCUGCAAAGAUAGAAAGAAGAGAGGGAGGAGGAAAGACUCAAGAGCCCAGGAAAUUUCUCAUUAGCUCUAUCUCUCCUUUUCCUGUCCAUCUGUAACCCCACGUCAAUGGACUGACUUUAUUUGUAGGCAAGAUAUGCUAUUAUUUUCUCAGGGUUCCUUUUUUCUUUUAAAUACUGGAGGGCUUACCCGUAAAACAGCCUAGCUUACUUUUCUCCAUCAUUGCUUUCCUCUGUGUAGAAUGGGCAGGUGAGUCCUUGGUAGAGUAUUGCCUCACAGAGAAUUCAGGAGAUGCAAUGAGUAUAAAGCCAUCUGUGUUCUGUACCAGAAGACAUGCUGGGAACAGAAACCGGUCAUCAGAGAUCAGUGCCAUGCCCGUAGAAAUGGUGCGAUGAAAGUUUUCUAAAUGAAUAGAUGAACCCAAAAAGGCCUUUACUAUCUGCUCACUGUGGUGGACACGAGGAUGUGCUGUUCAGACCCCUCUCAGACCUGAGGGCCUGAUGCCCCCAGCUGCUGGGGUGCUGCAGGUGGCUGGUCCCUCUGGGUUGUCUGCCUAGGACAGUAGCUUUGCACAAUGGCUGACUGAUGAAGGGGUAGGGAGCCCUGGUCCUCUCACUGAAAUGGGACAGCGUUGAGAGGUCAAUCCAUCUUCAGAACUUCCCAGAGGUUCGGCUGAAAUGUCCACUGAAACUGCAUUGCAGGAGAUCCCGUUGUGGCUCACCAGGUCAAGAACCUGAGUAGUAUCCAUGAGGAGGUGGGUUCAAUCCCAGGCCUUGUUCGUUGGCUUAAGGAUCCAGCAUUACUGCAAGCUGCAGCAUAGGUUGCAGGUGCAGCUCGGAUCUGGGGUUGCUGUGUAGGCCUGGAGCUGCAGCUCCGAUUCGACGCCUAGUUUGGGAACUGCUACAGGCCACAUGUGCGGCCCUAAAAAGAAAAAAAAGAAAGAAAGAAAC